UACGUAGGGGGCAAGCGUUGUCCGGAAUCAUUGGGCGUAAAGCGCGCGUAGGCGGCCCUGUAAGUCCGCUGUAAAAGUCAAAGGCUCAACCUUUGAAAGCCGGUGGAUACUGCAGGGCUAGAGUCCGGAAGAGGCGAGUGGAAUUCCUUGUGUAGCGGUGGAAUGCGCAGAUAUCGGGAGGAACACCUAUGGCGAAGGCAGCUCGCUGGGACGGUACUGACGCUGAGACGCGAAAGCGUGGGGAGCAAACAGG
rnacentral:rRNA from 1 species